GGGCCCGCACAAGCGGUGGAGCAUGUGGCUUAAUUCGAGGCAACGCGAAGAACCUUACCUGGUCUUGACAUGCCCGUCAUAGUUUUCCGAAAGGAAUUCGUCGGUUCGGCCGGACGGUGCACAGGUGCUGCAUGGCUGUCGUCAGCUCGUGUCGUGAGAUGUUCGGUUAAGUCCGGCAACGAGCGCAACCCUCGUUCCUAGUUGCCAGCGGGUAAUGCCGGGGACUCUAGGAAGACAAACCUCGUGUAGAGGUGGGAAGGUGGGGACGACGUCAAGUCAGUAUGGCCUUUACGACCAGGGCUGCACACGUGCUACAAUGCUCGGCACAAUGGGAUGCAAUACCGCGAGGUUGAGCCAAUCCAUAAAACCGAGCCCAGUUCGGAUUGGAGUCUGCAACUCGACUCCAUGAAGUUGGAAUCGCUAGUAAUGGCGUAU
rnacentral:rRNA from 1 species